rnacentral:rRNA from 1 species
AGAGUUUGAUCAUGGCUCAGGACGAACGCUGGCGGCGUGCCUAAAACAUGCAAGUCGAGCGGGGCCCAACCGGUGGCAACACCGGUGAAGGCCUAGCGGCGAACGGGUGAGUAACACGUGAGCAACCUGCCCCGAAGUCUGGGAUAAGCCGGGGAAACCUGGUCUAAUACCGGAUGUCGUCACUGGAUCGCAUGGUCCGGUGCCGAAAGAUUUAUCGCUUCGGGAGGGGCUCGCGUCCUAUCAGCUUGUUGGUGAGGUAAUGGCUCACCAAGGCUUCGACGGGUAGCUGGUCUGAGAGGACGAUCAGCCACACUGGGACUGAGACACGGCCCAGACUCCUACGGGAGGCAGCAGUUAGGAAUCUUGCGCAAUGGGCGAAAGCCUGACGCAGCAACGCCGCGUGCGGGAAGAAGGCCCUCGGGUUGUAAACCGCUUUCAGUAGGGACGAAAACAGACGGUACCUACAGAAGAAGCCCCGGCCAACUACGUGCCAGCAGCCGCGGUAACACGUAGGGGGCGAGCGUUGUCCGGAUUUAUUGGGCGUAAAGAGCUCGUAGGCGGCUUGGUAAGUCGGGUGUGAAAACUCCGAGCUCAACUCGGAGACGCCAUCCGAUACUGCUAUGGCUAGAGUCCGGUAGGGGAGCGCAGAAUUCCUGGUGUAGCGGUGAAAUGCACAGAUAUCAGGAGGAAUACCGAUGGCGAAGGCAGCGCUCUGGGCCGGUACUGACGCUGAGGAGCGAAAGCGUGGGUAGCAAACAGGAUUAGAUACCCUGGUAGUCCACGCCGUAAACGUUGGGAACUAGGUGUGGGGAUCUGUCAACGAUCUCCGUGCCGUAGCUAACGCAUUAAGUUCCCCGCCUGGGGAGUACGGCCGCAAGGCUAAAACUCAAAGGAAUUGACGG